rnacentral:rRNA from 1 species
GGUUAAGCGACUAAGCGUACACGGUGGAUGCCCUGGCAGUCAGAGGCGAUGAAGGACGUGCUAAUCUGCGAUAAGCGUCGGUGAGGUGAUAUGAACCGUUAUAACCGGCGAUUUCCGAAUGGGGAAACCCAGUGUGUUUCGACACACUAUCAUUAACUGAAUCCAUAGGUUAAUGAGGCGAACCGGGGGAACUGAAACAUCUAAGUACCCCGAGGAAAAGAAAUCAACCGAGAUUCCCCCAGUAGCGGCGAGCGAACGGGGAGGAGCCCAGAGCCUGAAUCAGUGUGUGUGUUAGUGGAAGCGUCUGGAAAGGCGCGCGAUACAGGGUGACAGCCCCGUACACAAAAAUGCACAUAUUGUGAGCUCGAUGAGUAGGGCGGGACACGUGGUAUCCUGUCUGAAUAUGGGGGGACCAUCCUCCAAGGCUAAAUACUCCUGACUGACCGAUAGUGAACCAGUACCGUGAGGGAAAGGCGAAAAGAACCCCGGCGAGGGGAGUGAAAAAGAACCUGAAACCGUGUACGUACAAGCAGUGGGAGCCUCUUAAUGGGGUGACUGCGUACCUUUUGUAUAAUGGGUCAGCGACUUAUAUUCUGUAGCAAGGUUAACCGAAUAGGGGAGCCGAAGGGAAACCGAGUCUUAACUGGGCGUUAAGUUGCAGGGUAUAGACCCGAAACCCGGUGAUCUAGCCAUGGGCAGGUUGAAGGUUGGGUAACACUAACUGGAGGACCGAACCGACUAAUGUUGAAAAAUUAGCGGAUGACUUGUGGCUGGGGGUGAAAGGCCAAUCAAACCGGGAGAUAGCUGGUUCUCCCCGAAAGCUAUUUAGGUAGCGCCUCGUGAAUUCAUCUCCGGGGGUAGAGCACUGUUUCGGCAAGGGGGUCAUCCCGACUUACCAACCCGAUGCAAACUGCGAAUACCGGAGAAUGUUAUCACGGGAGACACACGGCGGGUGCUAACGUCCGUCGUGAAGAGGGAAACAACCCAGACCGCCAGCUAAGGUCCCAAAGUCAUGGUUAAGUGGGAAACGAUGUGGGAAGGCCCAGACAGCCAGGAUGUUGGCUUAGAAGCAGCCAUCAUUUAAAGAAAGCGUAAUAGCUCACUGGUCGAGUCGGCCUGCGCGGAAGAUGUAACGGGGCUAAACCAUGCACCGAAGCUGCGGCAGCGACGCUUAUGCGUUGUUGGGUAGGGGAGCGUUCUGUAAGCCUGUGAAGGUGUGCUGUGAGGCAUGCUGGAGGUAUCAGAAGUGCGAAUGCUGACAUAAGUAACGAUAAAGCGGGUGAAAAGCCCGCUCGCCGGAAGACCAAGGGUUCCUGUCCAACGUUAAUCGGGGCAGGGUGAGUCGACCCCUAAGGCGAGGCCGAAAGGCGUAGUCGAUGGGAAACAGGUUAAUAUUCCUGUACUUGGUGUUACUGCGAAGGGGGGACGGAGAAGGCUAUGUUGGCCGGGCGACGGUUGUCCCGGUUUAAGC